UGGCGGCGUGCCUAAUACAUGCAAGUCGAACGAACUGACGAAGAUCUUGGUCCUUGUAACUUAUUGCCGAACAGGUGAGUAAUACAUAAGCGACCUGCCUCGAUGCCAGGGAUAACACAUGGAAACUUCUGCUAAUACCGGAUACGUUAAUCUAAUACAUCUGAAAUUAAUUAGAGAUGGGAUACAUGCACGACGAGAUGGGCUUAUGGGGCAUUAAUUAGUUGGUAAGGUAACGGCUUACCUCGACGAUGAUGCAUACCCGACCUGACAGGGUGACCGGCCACACUGGGACUGACACACAGCCCACACUCCAUACCGAAGGCAGCAAUAAGGAAUUUUCCGCUAUGGGGGAAACCCUGACCGACCAACGCCCCGUGAGUGAAUACAGACUUCUGGUUGAACAGCUCUGUUGGAUGGGAAGAACGAUAGGAAGAGGGAAUGCUUCUUAUAUGACUGUACCUUACCAGAAAGCCACGGCUAACUACGUGCCAGCAGCCGCGGUAAUACGUACGUGGCUGGCGUUAUCCGGAAUUAUUGAGCGUACAGGGAGCGCACGCAGUUUAUCAAGUUUAUGGGUAAAGUUCGGGGCUUAACCCCGUGAUGCCAUAGAAACUGGUAUACUAGAGUGCAGGACAGGUUAGUGGAAUUCCAUGUGUAGCGGUAAAAUGCGUAGAUAUAUGGAGGAACACCACUGGCGAAGGCAGCUAACUGGCCUGUAACUGACGCUGAGGCUCGAAAGCGUGGGGAGCAAAUAGGAUUAGAUACCCUACUAUGCCACGCCGUAAACGAUGGAUACAAAGUGUUGGAGAAAUUCAGUGCUGUAGUUAACGCAAUAAGUAUCCCGCCUGGGGAGUAUGCGCGCAAGCGUAAAACUCAAAGGAAUUGACGGGGCACCGCACAAGCGGUGGAGUAUGUGGUGUAAUUAGAAGCAACGCGAAGAACCUUAUCAGGUUCUGACAUCACGUGCAAAAGCACAGAGAUGUCUAAUAGUUAUGGAGGAUACAGGUGGUGCAUGGUUGUCGUCAGCUCGUGUCGUGAGAUGUUGGGUUAAGUCCCGCAACGAGCGCAACCCUUGUCUUUAGUUACCAUCAUUAAGUUGGGGACUCUAAAGAGACUGCCGGUGAUAAACCGGAGGAAGGUGGGGAUGACGUCAAAUCAUCAUGCCCCUUAUGAUCUGGGCUACACACGUACUACAAUGGAGUAUACAGAGGGCAGCGAAGCAGCGAUGUGGAGCGAAUCUCAGAAAGUCAGUCUCAGUUCGGAUUGGAGUCUGCAACUCGACUCCAUGAAGUCGGAAUCGCUAGUAAUCGUGGAUCAGAA
rnacentral:rRNA from 1 species